GACGUAGGGUGCGAGCGUUGUCCGGAUUUAUUGGGCGUAAAGAGCUCGUAGGCGGCUCGUCGCGUCGACCGUGAAAACCCGCGGCUUAACCGCGGGCUUGCGGUUGAUACGGGCGGGCUAGAGUUCGGUAGGGGAGAAUGGAAUUCCCGGUGUAGCGGUGAAAUGCGCAGAUAUCGGGAGGAACACCGGUGGCGAAGGCGGUUCUCUGGGCCUUACCUGACGCUGAGGAGCGAAAGCGUGGGGAGCGAACAGG
rnacentral:rRNA from 1 species